UUUGCCGUGGCUCUCAGGAAUAGUGGCAAGCCUACCUGCAUUCUAUUUUUUUUUCCUUUUUAAGUAUUUUGAUUGACAGGUUGCGCGUAUCUAAAUUUACGCAUGCAUACUUUAUUUUAUUUUUUUUCUUAGUCUUUUUUGUUACAUUUUUACUUAACGUUAAUCUUUCAUUUUUCCUUUUUAUUCAUUAGGUAAGAAUUCCCCCAUUACCCUUUUUCUGAAGUAUAUAUUAUUAAGCAUCCUAUCUGCGUGCUUCCUCUUCUUAAAAAGUUAUGUUUUUUUAUUAUCUUCUGACAGAUCUCCGGCCAAGUUUACCGAUGAAAUAGCGAGAAAUGUUGAAAACUGAAAAGGGGAUGUUUCAUAAUGCGAUGUAUCACUCGCCAUCGCUUCUCGUCUCGCUUUUGAUUCCUCCGAUCGAUCUAACUUUUGUUGGUGGUUGCUGUCACUAGAUGAAAACUCGAUAGAUAGAUGUGGGAAAGAAGAUGGUGUUGGUGUCGGUACGGGUGAGGGUGAUCAUGUACUGAUGCCUGAUGGUGUCCUAGUAAGUGGUUUGUAGAAACAAGAUUUGUGGGUUUAAUUUCUUAUCCAAAUCAAAUGUUUAUGGAUUUGUGAUUGUAAUCCGGAUAAAUGAAGAUCCAGAAAUUAAUGGGGUUUUAUAUAUGUAGCUGAAGAGAGAGCGAGCGAGAUGGUGAGGAGGCCGCAGAUUUAGGCCGGUGGGAAUAAAGGGCUGCUGUCGGAAUGUUUCUGCUGCUGCCGGAAUAUGAUGUUACUCCGGUAAAUGGUUUCAAAUGUGUAACCCAAUCACAUGGGUUUAAAUGUGUGUCUGUAUAUUUCUUCAGUUGGGAAUUUUGAUUAGUAGUGGUAGCGAUGAUUUAAAUUAACCCAUCUAAGAUCUGGCUUUGCUUUUUCA